rnacentral:lncRNA from 1 species
CACCAAGUCAGGCUUUACUUAUUUUGAAACAAGGUUUUGGUAAAUUGCCCAGGCAGCACUAAAAUUUUCUAUCCUCCUCCCUCAUCUUCCCUGGGCGCUAGGAUUAGAUUUGCACACCCGCACCGGGUUUAAUUAUUCAUCUUUGUAUAACUCCUUCGGAAAACUCUGCCUUACACAGUACGUAUGCAGGCUCAUUGGUUGGUGAAGGCCUUGCUGCUUUGGGAGGCAGCAUCUUCAUCUACACAGGUUAUUCAGCAAGGAGGAUGAAAAGGAACGCUGGUGUCCACAUCCCGGUCUCCGGCGAGGUCCUGAGCAGGAUUCUGGGUGGCCAGAGGAAGGGACUGGGCCUGCUCAACCGUUGCCAUGGUAACCGCAGUCCCAGCUCCAGGACCUCCCUAACAAGGGGGCGGGGUCUCGGAAGCCAAUCACUCCUGAGGGCUUCGCGUGCCUCGGUCGCUUCCCGCCUUGCGACAUCCCCAGUUACCAGGCAGGCGCUGCUCCAUAAGGCCACGAGAUGGCGACGCGGAGCCAAAUUCCGCGCCCCACCAGGGAGGUGCUGGGGUAGAACCCGUCGGUCGGGCCUCUGGGUUGUGCUCUCCUGCCCCUAUCAGGGGAGGUCUUUGCUGCCAGCCUGGGAGCCGCCGGCCCGAGAAUGGACUUUCCAGACUCACUCUGUAGCCCAGGCUGGCCUUGAACUUGUGACCAUCCUCCUGCCUCAGCCUCUCGAGUGCUGGGAUUACAGACAGCAUCUCUCUUUGUAUUCCAAGCUGUCCUUGAAGUCACUAUGUCACCCAGGCUGGCCUCAAACUCGUGACCAUCCUCCUACCUCAGUCUUUCAGUUGCUGGGAUUACAGGCCUGCACCACCAUACCUGGCUCUAUAGUGUUUUUAUUUUAAAUUACAAGCUACUCACCAUGCAGUGCUUGCUCUAAGCGGAAGACCACGCUAAGUCAUUAAUGGGGCGGAAGGCUGCAGGCUGAAGCCACAUCUACAGCAAGGCUGCCCAAGGUCACACAGCUGGA